ACUCAAGAAACGGAUCUUAGUCCAACCUAAAACUUAUUCUUUUAGUCCAUCUAAACAGCCCUAUGAAUUUUAGAGUAAUUCAAAUAAGGUACAGCCUAUUUGAAACAGGAUACAACCUAGACUUGUGGAUAAGAUUGGCCUUACAUACAACCAAGUGGGCCUAAAAGCAGCCAUCUUUAAAAUAGCGUCAAAGCUUAAUUGUAAAUAUGCCUAAUUUCAUAAUGAUGAUCUUAAUCCCUUCCCAAUAUUGAGUAAUUCUAUAUCUUUAUAGAAAAUUUUAUGUUAAAACUAGUAACAAGAAGAAGAUACUUCUCUUCAAUGUAAGUGUAAAUCAGAAAGGACGAACCACUGAUAAUUAUCGUCACUGAAGCAAAAAUAGAAACUCACCUAGAAAAAUCUAUUUUUACCAACGUUAACCUAACACAAGAACAUUAAAAGAAAGAUUAAAAGAAAAAGAAGGAACUCGGCAAACAUUAACCUCGCCUGUUUACCAAAAACAUCGCCUCUUGAUUUUCUAUAAGAGGUCCAGCCUGCCCAGUGACCAUGUUCAACGGCCGCGGUAUCCUAACCGUGCGAAGGUAGCGUAAUCACUUGUUCUUUAAAUGUGGACUAGUAUGAAUGGCAUCACGAAGGUUAUACUGUCUCCUUUUUCUAAUCAGUGAAACUAAUCUCCCCGUGAAGAAGCGGGGAUAGAAUUAUAAGACGAGAAGACCCUAUGGAGCUUUAAACAACACAGCAUUUACCAAAGAAUUUUUAAUGUUUCUGUAACACUAACUUUUUCAAGUAAAAUGACUGCAAGUUUUUGGUUGGGGUGACCACGGAGUAUAUCACAACCUCCAUGUUGAAAGAAUUCUUUCUAAGCCAAGAAUAACCAAUCUAAGCAUUAACAAAUUAACAUCUAUUGACCCAAUAAAUUUGAUCAACGAACCAAGUUACCCUAGGGAUAACAGCGCAAUCCACUUCAAGAGCCCCUAUCGACAAGUGGGUUUACGACCUCGAUGUUGGAUCAGGGUAUCCCAGUGGUGCAGCCGCUACUAAAGGUUCGUUUGUUCAACGAUUAAAACCCUACGUGAUCUGAGU
rnacentral:rRNA from 1 species